rnacentral:rRNA from 1 species
GACGAACGCUGGCGGCGUGCCUAAUACAUGCAAGUUGAGCGCUGAAGGUUGGUACUUGUACCAACUGGAUGAGCAGCGAACGGGUGAGUAACGCGUGGGGAAUCUGCCUUUGAGGGGGGGACAACAUUUGGAAACGAAUGCUAAUACCGCAUAAAAACUUUAAACACAAGUUUUAAGUUUGAAAGAUGCAAUUGCAUCACUCAAAGAUGAUCCCGCGUUGUAUUAGCUAGUUGGUGAGGUAAAGGCUCACCAAGGCGAUGAUACAUAGCCGACCUGAGAGGGUGAUCGGCCACAUUGGGACUGAGACACGGCCCAAACUCCUACGGGAGGCAGCAGUAGGGAAUCUUCGGCAAUGGACGAAAGUCUGACCGAGCAACGCCGCGUGAGUGAAGAAGGUUUUCGGAUCGUAAAACUCUGUUGGUAGAGAAGAACGUUGGUGAGAGUGGAAAGCUCAUCAAGUGACGGUAACUACCCAGAAAGGGACGGCUAACUACGUG